rnacentral:rRNA from 1 species
GACGAACGCUGGCGGCGUGCCUAAUACAUGCAAGUAGAACGCUGAAGAGAGGAGCUUACUCUUCUUGGAUGAGUUGCGAACGGGUGAGUAACGCGUAGGUAACCUGCCUUGUAGCGGGGGAUAACUAUUGGAAACGAUAGCUAAUACCGCAUAACAAUGGAUGACACAUGUCAUUUAUUUGAAAGGGGCAAUUGCUCCACUACAAGAUGGACCUGCGUUGUAUUAGCUAGUAGGUGAGGUAAUGGCUCACCUAGGCGACGAUACAUAGCCGACCUGAGAGGGUGAUCGGCCACACUGGGACUGAGACACGGCCCAGACUCCUACGGGAGGCAGCAGUAGGGAAUCGUCGGCAAUGGGGGCAACCCUGACCGAGCAACGCCGCGUGAGGGAAGAAGGUUUUCGGAUCGUAAAGCUCUGUUGUAAGUCAAGAACGGGUGUGAGAGUGGAAAGUUCACACUGUGACGGUAGCUUACCAGAAAGGGACGGCUAACUACGUG